CAGGGCGGGUGCUAUACAUGCAGUCGAACGCUUCUUUUUCCACCGGAGCUUGCUCCACCGGAAAAAGAAGAGUGGCGAACGGGUGAGUAACACGUGGGUAACCUGCCCAUCAGAAGGGGAUAACACUUGGAAACAGGUGCUAAUACCGUAUAACAAUCAAAACCGCAUGGUUUUGAUUUGAAAGGCGCUUUCGGGUGUCGCUGAUGGAUGGACCCGCGGUGCAUUAGCUAGUUGGUGAGGUAACGGCUCGCCAAGGCCACGAUGCAUAGCCGACCUGAGAGGGUGAUCGGCCACAUUGGGACUGAGACACGGCCCAAACUCCUACGGGAGGCAGCAGUAGGGAAUCUUCGGCAAUGGACGAAAGUCUGACCGAGCAACGCCGCGUGAGUGAAGAAGGUUUUCGGAUCGUAAAACUCUGUUGUUAGAGAAGAACAAGGAUGAGAGUAACUGUUCAUCCCUUGACGGUAUCUAACCAGAAAGCCACGGCUAACUACGUGCCAGCAGCCGCGGUAAUACGUAGGUGGCAAGCGUUGUCCGGAUUUAUUGGGCGUAAAGCGAGCGCAGGCGGUUUCUUAAGUCUGAUGUGAAAGCCCCCGGCUCAACCGGGGAGGGUCAUUGGAAACUGGGAGACUUGAGUGCAGAAGAGGAGAGUGGAAUUCCAUGUGUAGCGGUGAAAUGCGUAGAUAUAUGGAGGAACACCAGUGGCGAAGGCGGCUCUCUGGUCUGUAACUGACGCUGAGGCUCGAAAGCGUGGGGAGCAAACAGGAUUAGAUACCCUGGUAGUCCACGCCGUAAACGAUGAGUGCUAAGUGUUGGAGGGUUUCCGCCCUUCAGUGCUGCAGCUAACGCAUUAAGCACUCCGCCUGGGGAGUACGACCGCAAGGUUGAAACUCAAAGGAAUUGACGGGGGCCCGCACAAGCGGUGGAGCAUGUGGAUUAAUUCGAAGCAACGCGAAGAACCUUACCAGUCUUGACAUCCUUUGACCACUCUAGAGAUAGAGCUUCCCCUUCGGGGGCAAAGUGACAGGUGGUGCAUGGGUUGUCGUCAGCUCGUGUCGUGAGAUGUUGGGGUUAAGUCCCGCAACGAGCGCAACCCUUAUUGUUAGUUGCCAUCAUUCAGUUUGGGCACCUUCUAAGCA
rnacentral:rRNA from 1 species